rnacentral:hammerhead_ribozyme from 1 species
ACUGACGAGUCCCAAAUAGGACGAAACGCGCGUCU